GACGAACGCUGGCGGCGUGCUUAACACAUGCAAGUCGAACGGGAACCUUUAUUUCGGUAAAGGUGAGAGUGGCAAACGGGUGAGUAACACGUAGGCAACCUGCCGACAGGAUGGGGACAACAUUCCGAAAGGAAUGCUAAUACCGAAUGGAGUCCGAGGAUGGCAUCAUCCUUGGAUAAAAGAUGGCCUCUGAAUAUGCUAUCGCCUGUCGAUGGGCCUGCGUCUGAUUAGCCAGUUGGCGGGGUAACGGCCCACCAAAGCGACGAUCAGUAGCCGGUCUGAGAGGAUGAACGGCCACAUUGGGACUGAGACACGGCCCAGACUCCUACGGGAGGCAGCAGUGGGGAAUCUUCCACAAUGGGCGAAAGCCUGAUGGAGCAACGCCGCGUGAGUGAAGAAGGUCUUCGGAUCGUAAAGCUCUGUUGCACGGGACGAAAACUGGGUUUGAAAACAUUGAACCUGGGGACGUACCGAGCGAGGA
rnacentral:rRNA from 1 species